rnacentral:rRNA from 1 species
GGCUAACUACGGGCCAGGAGCGGCGGGAAUACGUAGGUCCCGAGCGUUGUCCGGAGUUAUUGGGCGUAAAGCGAGAGCAGGCGGUUUGAUAAGUCUGAAGUAAAAGGCUGUGGCGUAACCAUAGUAUGCUUUGGAAACUGUCAAACUUGAGUGCAGAAGGGGAGAGUGGAAUUCCAGGUGUAGCGGUGAAAUGCGUAGAUAUAUGGAGGAACACCGGUGGCGAAAGCGGCUCUCUGGUCUGUAACUGACGCUGAGGCUCGAAAGCGUGGGGAGCAAACAGGAUUAGAUACCCCAGUAGUC